GACGAACGCUGGCGGCGUGCCUAAUCCAUGCAAGUCGAACGCAGUGGGGACGGGUGAGUAACACGUGGGUAACCUCCCAUCAGAGGGGAUAACACUUGGAAACAGGUGCUAAACCGAUACUGAUGGAUGAACCCGCGGUGCAUUAGCUAGUUGGUGAGGUAACGGCUCACCAAGGCCACGAUGCAUAGACGACCUGCGCAGAUGAGCGGCAACAAUGGGACUGAGGCACGGCCCAGACCCCUACGAGAGGCAGAAGUAGGGAAUCUUCGGCAAUUGACAAAAGUCUGACCGAGCAACGCCGCGUGAGUGAAGAAGGUUUUCGGAUCGUAAUACUCUGUUGUUGGAGAAGCGAUAUGUAACCAGAAGGCCACGGCUAACUACGUGCCAGCAGCCGCGGUAAUAC
rnacentral:rRNA from 1 species